AUCGUCACUAUCUUUGAGUUAAUGCAUUGAGUCCCCUCUCAGGGUCUCUUAGGCAGGCACAGCUUUCUGCCUCAUCCACGUUACACAUCCUGUGUUCACUUCUAACUCCGCAUGCAUUAUAUUUUCUUGAACACGGCCUUCAUUGUAACCAAGCUUUCUCCUUUUGCACAGUACAAGUGCUUUAUUUUUCUCUGCAGACAAUGGAUUCCCUUUGUAUCUCCCUUACUUUUGUUUAAGACUUCUAAUUUAUCCCAAGGUCAUCUUUAAUCUCUUCUCCGUAUCUCAGCUACUUCACUUGAUCUCAACUUCUACCCUGUCUGUGUCAAUAAUAUUCUGUUCCUUUGUUCCAGGUAGUUCAACAGAUUUAAGGCACUUACUGUUUGUCUCUUCAGGCAGACUCUUUACGGGCUGAGCCACCAGGGAAGACUCAAUGGGAUCUGCUGCUGCUGCUGCUAAGUCACUUCAGUCGUGUCCGACUCUGUGCGACCCCAUGGACUACAGCCCACCAGGCUUCUCUGUCCAUGGGAUUCUCCAGGCAAGAACACUGGAGUGGGUUGCCAUUUCUUUCUCCAAUGCAUGAAAGUGGAAAGCGAAAGUGAAGUCGCUCAGUCGUGUCUGACUCCCAGCGACCCCAUGGACUGCAGCCUACCAGGCUCCUCCAUCCAUGGGAUUUUCCGGGCAACAGUACUGGAGUGGGAUGUUCAGCUUAAAAAAUGUAUGAUGUUUCACAUAAAAGUUGAAGUCACUGGAGAGCAGGAGAUUCACAUAUCAAAGAAAAAGAACAUGAUUUUCCUGGCUUGGACCAGCAUGUACUCCUGGAUGAACCAGCUAUGCUAUGAUCAGAGGGGAAGGACCACUGGCACCAACAGGCCUUGUAUAUCAGAGCCUCCCCAGAGAAGGGGGCUCACUGGAAGAGAAACAGUGGUGUGUUCAGUUCAGUUCAGUUCAGUCGCUCAGUCAUGUCCGACUCUUUACGACCCCAUGAAUCGCAGCACGCCAGGCCACCCUGUCCAUCACCAACUUGCGGAGUUCAUUCAGAUUCACGUCCAUCGAGUCAGUGAUGCCAUCCAGCCAUCUCAUCCUUGUCAUCCCCUUCUCCUCCUGCCCCCAAUCCCUCCCAGCAUCAGAGUCUUUUCCAAAGUCAACUCUUCGCAUGAGGUGGCCAAAGUACUGGAGUUUCAGCUUUAGCAUCAUUCCUUCCAAAGAACACCCAGGACAGAGCUCCUUUAGGAUGGACUGGUUGGAUCUCCUUGCAGUCCAAGGGACUCUCAAGAGUCUUGUCCAACACCACAGUUCAAAAGCAUCAAUUCUUCGGCGCUCAGCCUUCUUCACAGUCCAACUCUCACAUCCAUACAUGACCACAGGAAAAACCAUAGCCUUGACUAGACAGACCUUUGUUGGCAAAGUAAUGUCUCUGCUUUUGAAUAUGCUAUCUAGGUUGGACAUAACUUUCCUUCCAAGGAGUAAGCGUCUCUUAAUUUCAUGGCUGCAGUCACCAUCUGCAGUGAUUUUGGAGCCCCCAAAAAUAAAGUCUGACACUGUUUCCA
ensembl:lncRNA